UACAGAGGGGGCGAGCGUUUAUUCGGAAUUAUUGGGCGUAAAGGGCGCGUAGGCGGCCUAUUAAGUGACGGGUGAAAUCCCUCGGCUUAACCGAGGAACUGCCUGUCAGACUGGAAGGCUUGAGACCGGGAGAGGUGAGUGGAAUUCCCAGUGUAGCGGUGAAAUGCGUAGAUAUUGGGAGGAACACCAGUGGCGAGGGCGGCUCACUGGACCGGUACUGACGCUGAGGCGCGAAAGCGUGGGGAGCGAACAGG
rnacentral:rRNA from 1 species